rnacentral:rRNA from 1 species
UAGGGAAUCUUCCACAAUGGACGCAAGUCUGAUGGAGCAACGCCGCGUGAGUGAAGAAGGUUUUCGGAUCGUAAAGCUCUGUUGUUGGUGAAGAGGGAUAGAGGCAGUAACUGGCCUUUAUUUGACGGUAAUCAACCAGAAAGUCACGGCUAACUACGUGCCAGCAGCCGCGGUAAUACGUAGGUGGCAAGCGUUGUCCGGAUUUAUUGGGCGUAAAGCGAGCGCAGGCGGAAGAAUAAGUCUGAUGUGAAAGCCCUCGGCUUAACCGAGGAACUGCAUCGGAAACUGUUUUUCUUGAGUGCAGAAGAGGAGAGUGGAACUCCAUGUGUAGCGGUGGAAUGCGUAGAUAUAUGGAAGAACACCAGUGGCGAAGGCGACUCUCUGGUCUGCAACUGACGCUGAGGCUCGAAAGCAUGGGUAGCGAACAGGAUUAGAUACCCUGGUAGUCCAUGCCGUAAACGAUGAGUGCUAAGUGUUGGGAGGUUUCCGCCUCUCAGUGCUGCAGCUAACGCAUUAAGCACUCCGCCUGGGGGAGUACGACCGCAAGGUUGAAACUCA